UGUUGACAUUAUAGUUGUGCAGGAACUUUGUUGACUCUAGAGAACCUCGGACAAAUCGCACAUCCCCACAGCGGCGACUUUCCAUGCGGAUGUCAUCCAUAUCAACUUUUAAAUGCCAGUUUCUGCGCCUACCAUGGUGACCACGGGUAACGGGGAAUCAUUCCGAGCAGGGACCCUGAGAAACGGCUACCACAUGCAAAGAAGGCAGCAGGCGUGCAAAUGACCCACUCCUGACGCGGGAAGGUAGUGACGACA